rnacentral:rRNA from 1 species
AAGGCAGCAGUAGGGAAUCUUCCGCAAUGGACGAAAGUCUGACGGAGCAACGCCGCGUGAGCGAAGAAGGCCUUCGGGUCGUAAAGCUCUGUUGUAAGGGAAGAACAAGCAUCGGUUAACUGCCGGUGCCCUGACGGUACCUUACCAGAAAGCCACGGCUAACUACGUGCCAGCAGCCGCGGUAAUACGUAGGUGGCAAGCGUUGUCCGGAAUUAUUGGGCGUAAAGCGCGCGCAGGCGGUUUCUUAAGUCUGAUGUGAAAGCCCACGGCUCAACCGUGGAGGGUCAUUGGAAACUGGGAGACUUGAGUGCAGAAGAGGAAAGCGGAAUUCCACGUGUAGCGGUGAAAUGCGUAGAGAUGUGGAGGAACACCAGUGGCGAAGGCGGCUUUCUGGUCUGUAACUGACGCUGAGGCGCGAAAGCGUGGGGAGCAAACAGGAUUAGAUACCCUGGUAGUCCACGCCGUAAACGAUGAGUGCUAAGUGUUAGGGGGUUUCCGCCCCUUAGUGCUGCAGCUAACGCAUUAAGCACUCCGCCUGGGGAGUACGGCCGCAAGGCUGAACUCAG